AGCGAACGCUGGCGGCAGGCCUAACACAUGCAAGUCGAACGAACUCUUCGGAGUUAGUGGCGGACGGGUGAGUAACACGUGGGAACGUGCCUUUUGGUUCGGAAUAACUCAGGGAAACUUGUGCUAAUACCGAAUGUGCUCUUCGGGGGAAAGAUUUAUCGCCAUUAGAGCGGCCCGCGUCUGAUUAGCUAGUUGGUGAGGUAACGGCUCACCAAGGCGACGAUCAGUAGCUGGUCUGAGAGGAUGACCAGCCACACUGGGACUGAGACACGGCCCAGACUCCUACGGGAAGCAGCAGUGGGGAAUCUUGCGCAAUGGGCGAAAGCCUGACGCAGCCAUGCCGCGUGAAUGAUGAAGGUCUUAGGAUUGUAAAAUUCUUUCACCGGGGACGAUAAUGACGGUACCCGGAGAAGAAGCCCCGGCUAACUUCGUG
rnacentral:rRNA from 1 species